UGGUAAUCCUAGGACUUCGGGAGGCUGAGGCAGGCGGAUCACUGGAUCCCAGGAGUUCAAGACCAGCCUGGGCAAUAUGGUGAAAUUUUGUCUCUACCAAAACAAAAAAACUAACCAACCAACCAGACAACCACAAAAAUUAGCUGGGUGUAGUGAUGUGCGCUUGUAGUCACAGUUAUUUGGUAGGCUAAGGUGGGAGGAUCGCUUGAGCCAGGGAGAUGGAGGUUGCAGUGAGCUGAGAUCAAGCCAUUGCACUCCAGCCUGGGCAACAGAGUGAGACCCUGUCUCAAAAAAAAAAAAUCACAGUAAGAUAUUACUAUGUACCCAUUAGAAUGACUAAAAUUAAAAAGAUUGACCAUAAUAAGUGUUGGUGAGGAGGUGUAGGAACUGCCAUCCUCCUACAUUGCUGAUGAGAAUGUAAAAUGGUACAACUCCUUUGAAAAACACUUUGGCAGUGUCUGAAAAAGUUAAACGUAUGGCAACCAUAUGAUCCAUUUUAUUCUCAGAUAUUUCCCUAAGAGAAAUGAAAGUAUAUAUCCACACAAAGACUUGUACAUGAAUAUUCAUAGAUGCUUUAUUUAUAAUAGCCCUAAACUGCAAACAACCCAAAUGUCUGUCUACAGGUGAAUGGGAAAGGGUUUAUCCAUACAAUGGAUAGACAUGAGAAGAAAUGAACUAUUGACAUAUGCAACAACAUGAAUGAAUCUCAAAAUAAUUAUGCGGAGUAAAAGAAGCCAGCCAAAAAGGAGUAUAACUGUGUGAUCCUUAUUAUAUACAAUUCUAGAAAAUGCAAACUAUAGUGACAGAAUACAGAUCCGUGGUUGUUUUGGAGACAAGGAGGAGUGGCAAGGACGAAUCACAAGGAAACUUUUGGGCGCUGGAUAUGUUCAUGAUGCUGAUUUUGGUGAUGAUUUCACAAGUGUGAAAUACACCCAGCACUCACAAAAAAAACUUAUCAAAUUGUGUACUUUACAUAUGUACGGUUUAAUAUAUGUCACUUACACUUCAAUAGAGCUGUUAAAAAUAAAUUAUUUGUAAAGAUGAAGCCUGCGUGUGUGAGGAGAAAGAAGCAAUGGAGGAGAGGAAGAAGGAAGCACUCAGAAAGUCUUAUCUCAGCUAGGGGUGAGUCUGGGGAAGUGAACACCAGGGAAGAAGCUGGAGCCUGGACUCAGUCCUGGUGCCCACACCCCUUCCCUCCCUCUCCCCUUCUGAGUCCCCUUCUGUGUUGUCACUUGGGCUUUAGGAGGUGUCCUAGGAGGUUUGCCUCUGCCUUGUCAGUGGAGCUGGACCUUCUCAUCUAUUUUCCAUCUGCAUCCUCUGCCUUUCAUGGUUCCUGUAUGGGGCUCCCUUUAAAAGCCUUAUAGAAAAUGUGUUAGCCCCAGUCUCCUCUACUGCAAAAUAGGGGCACUCAUAUUUUUCUCGGGGCUGCUGUGAGUAUUAAAUAGAGAAGUGGCUCCUGGGGCUAAAAGAGCUGCAGCAUCUGACGUGGGCAUAGGAGCAAUCAAGCUGGAAGCCAGUGGGUGUGAGCGCAGAGCCUGGGAGCUUAUCACUUCACUACGCUGCUUCUUGGGACACUGGGGGUGCCCUCUGCCGGAGUCAGGCAAAUUUUCAGUGGACCCCUCUUUACUCUAUCUUCAUGGGGUCAAGCUUCUUCAGGCAUGGCAGAGCACUUAGUGCCCCUCUAGGGACUGACCAGCCGGGGGUGGACCCUGUUCUAUCCUAGACCCCACUUACCUGAGGGGACAAGGACCAGUGCCAGCAGCAGGAAGCA
rnacentral:lncRNA from 10 species